CAAACAUGCCAUUUGAAGUUUGAACUUCAGGUCGUUCACGGAAUGGAUUCUUCCCUGUCAACCAUCAUAUCUCAGUCAAAUUUAUUCCGAUCGAUUUGAAAUUUUAAGAACAUAUUUUCUGAUAAUUAUACCUAAAAAAAUGCAAUAAAAACUCAAUUGCUUUCGAAGAUAUAACUUACCAUUUCAAUAAAGCAGCCUUUGUAAGUUUCGAC